ACUGCUCAGUAACACGUGGCUAACCUGCCCUUGGGACGGGAAUACCCCCGGGAAACUGGGGCUAAUCCUCGAUAGGUGAAGAACUCUGGAAUGAGUCUCCGCCCAAAAGACGCUUAAAUCAUGCUUUUAGGCGCCGCCCAAGGAUGGGGCCGCGACCGAUCAGGUAGUUGGUGAGGCAACGGCUCACCAAGCCUUUGACCGGUGCGGGCCGUGAGAGCGGGAGCCCGGAGAUGGGCACUGAGACAAGGGCCCAGGCCCUACGGGGCGCAGCAGUCGCGAAAACUUUGCAAUACACGAAAGUGUGACAGGGCUAUCCCGAGUGCCAUCCGCUGAGGAAGGCUUUUACCCAGUAUAGAAAGCUGGGAGAAUAAGGAGAGGGCAAGUCUGGUGUCAGCCGCCGCGGUAAUACCAGCUCUCCGAGUGGUGUGGAUGUUUAUUGGGCCUAAAGCAUCCGUAGCUGGCCAAGUUAGUCCCCUGUUAAAUCCACCGAAUUAAUCGUUGGAGUGCGGGGGAUACUGCUCGGCUAGGGGACGAGAGAGGCCGACGGUAUUCCCGGGGUAGGGGUGAAAUCCUAUAAUCCCGGGAGGACCACCAGUGGCGAAGGCUGUCGGCUAGAACGCGCCCGACGGUGAGGGAUGAAAGCUGGGGGAGCGAACCGGAUUAGAUACCCGGGUAGUCCCAGCUGUAAACGAUGCAGGCUAGGUGUUUGGGCGGCCACGGGCCGCUCUAGUGCCGCAGGGAAGCCGUUAAGCCUGCCGCCUGGGGAGUACGGCCGCAAGGCUGAAACUUAAAGGAAUUGGCGGGGGAGCACCACAAGGGGUGAAGCUUGCGGGUUUAAUUGGAUUCAACGCCGGA
rnacentral:rRNA from 1 species